AGAAGUAAGGAAGAGCACACGGGGGAUGCCUAGGGUCUCAGAGGCGAUGAAGGACGCGAUAAGCUGCGAUAAGCUCGGGGGAGGGGCACAUACUCGUUAAUCCCGAGAUUUCCGAAUGGGGCAACCCCAUCGGUUGAAGACCGAUGACCACUCCUUAUUGGACUGGAGCAAACGCCGGGAACUGAAACAUCUCAGUACCGGCAGGAACAGAAAAUAACAAUGAUUCCCCAAGUAGUGGCGAGCGAACGGGGAGGAGCCCAAACCAGGGCGGUUACGGCCGCUCUGGGGUUGUAGGACCACAACAUCUGAUUAAACCGACUUAACUGAAGCGCGUGGGAAAGCGCAGCACAGAGGGUGAGACUCCCGUAAGUGACAGGUCCGGUUUACGGUAGUGGGAUCCUGAGUAGGGCGGGGCCGGAGAAACCCCGUCUGAAUCUGGCGGCACCAUCCGCCAAGGCUACAUACUCCUGAGACACCGAUAGUGAACCAGUACCGUGAGGGAAAGGUGAAAAGAACCGCGAAUAGCGGAGUGAAAAGAACCUGAAACCGUGUGCUUACAAGCAGUUAGAGCCCGUUUGUCGGGUGAUAGCGUGCCUUUUGCAUAAUGAGCCUACGAGUUACUCCUCCCUGGCAAGGUUAAGUGUGUGGACACACGCAGCCGCAGCGAAAGCGAGUCUGAACAGGGCGCGUAGUCAGGGGGGGUAGACGCGAAACCUAGUGAGCUACCCUUGAGCAGGAUGAAGGAGCGGUAACACGCUGUGGAGGUCCGAACCAGUUUCCGUUGAAAAGGAUUUGGAUGACUUGAGGGUAGGGGUGAAAGGCCAAUCAAACUGGGAAAUAGCUCGUACUCCCCGAAAUGUAUUGAGGUACAGCGUCGUGGUUAGGUUUGCUGGAGGUAGAGCUACCAAUAGGACUAGGGGGUGUCAGAGCCUACCGAAUCCUGAUGAACUCCGAAUGCCAGCAAAUUCAUACACGGCAGUGAGGCCUGGGGUGCUAAGGUCCCCGGCCGAGAGGGAAAGAACCCAGACCAACAGCUAAGGUCCCUAAGUUUCGUCUAAGUUGAACAAAGGAGGUCCAGUUGCUUUGACAGCCAGGAGGUUGGCUUGGAAGCAGCCAUUCCUUUAAAGAGUGCGUAACAGCUCACUGGUCGAGCGACCGGGCAUCGAUAAUACGCGGGCAUCAAGACGAGCACCGAAGCUUUGGAUUUGACAUUUAGUUGUCAAGUGGUAGGGGAGCAUUCUGGUUGCGGCGAAGGCGAGCUGUCAGGCUUGUUGGAGCGGCCAGAAAAGCACAUGUAGGCAUGAGUAACGAUAAAGUGGGUGCGAAACCCACUCGCCGAUAGACUAAGGUUUCCAAUUCAACGCUAAUCGGAAUUGGGUUAGGCGGGACCUAAGGGAGAGCCGACAGGUGUACCCGAUGGCAAGCCGGUUGAUAUUCCGGCCCCCGGACCAGGAAGUGAUGCAGGGACGCAGGAAUGAAAGUGCCGCGAGCGGACGGAAGUGCUCGUUAAAGGUCGUAGUUUAUUCUUGGGUAGUGAAGUACGCCCUCGAAGACGAAAGCUGAUAGUACUGCACGGCCCUCGGGCCACGCAGAUAGUGCACCUAAGGACUGCCAAGAAAAGCUGCUAAACGUUGUAUCCUGGCUCGGCCCGUACCGCAAACCGACACAGGUAGUCAAGGAGAGUAUCCUGAGGCGCUCGAGUGAAUCACGGCCAAGGAACUCGGCAAAAUGGUCCUGUAACUUCGGGAGAAGGGACGCUUCCUCUAGCGAUAGAGAAGCCGCAGUGAAAAGACCCAAGCGACUGUUUAACAAAAACACAUGGCUUUGCUAACGCGUAAGCGGACGUAUAAGGCCUGACACCUGCCCGGUGCUGGAAGGUUAAGAGGGGAGCUUAGUCGCAAGGCGAAGGCUUGAAUCGAAGCCCCAGUAAACGGCGGCCGUAACUAUAACGGUCCUAAGGUAGCGAAAUUCCUUGUCGGGUAAGUUCCGACCUGCACGAAUGGUGUAACGAUUUGGGUGCUGUCUCAGCCGUGAGCUCGGUGAAAUUGUAGUCUCGGUGAAGAUGCCGAGUACCCGCCACGGGACGGAAAGACCCCGUGCACCUUUACUAUAGGUUGCCAUUGGUGGUGGGUUCAGUAUGUGUAGCAUAGGCGGGAGGCGUCGAAGCGGGGCCGCUAGGUCUCGUGGAGCCAACGUUGAAAUACCGCCCUUACUGUGCCUGCUGCCUAACUCUAGGUUUCUUAGAGAACAGUGGCUGCUGGGUAGUUUGACUGGGGUGGUCGCCUCCAAAAAUGUAUCGGAGGCUUUCAAAGGUCCACUCAAUCCGCUUGGUAACCGGAUGUAGAGCGCAAUAGUAGAAGUGGGCUUGACUGUGAGACUGACUAGUCGAGCAGGGUCGAAAGACGGAUAUAGUGAUCCGGUGGUUCCGCAUGGAAGGGCCAUCGCUCAAAGGAUAAAAGGUACGCCGGGGAUAACAGGCUGAUCUCCCCCAAGAGCUCAUAUCGACGGGGAGGUUUGGCACCUCGAUGUCGGCUCGUCACGUCCUGGGGCUGGAGAAGGUCCCAAGGGUUCGGCUGUUCGCCGAUUAAAGUGGCACGCGAGCUGGGUUCAGAACGUCGUGAGACAGUUCGGUCCCUAUCUGUGGUGGGCGUUGGAUGAUUGAGAGGACCUGACUUUAGUACGAGAGGACCGAGUUGGACCAGCCGCUGGUGCGCCGGUUGUCCCGCCAGGGGCAGCGCCGGGUAGCUACGCUGGGAGCAGAUAAGCGCUGAAAGCAUCUAAGUGCGAAACUCACCUCAAGAUGAGUCAUCCCAAUGAAAGGUCCGUGGUAGACGACCACGUCAAUAGGCCGCAGGUGUACGGCUAGAAAUAGCUGAGCUGAGCGGUACUAAGGAACCGAGGACUUACGCUU
rnacentral:rRNA from 1 species